rnacentral:rRNA from 1 species
UUGCACGCUGGCGGCAGGCCUCACACAUGCAAGUCGAGCGGAUGAAGGGAGCUUGCUCCUGGAUUCAGCGGCGGACGGGUGAGUAAUGCCUAGGAAUCUGCCUGGUAGUGGGGGAUAACGUCCGGAAACGGGCGCUAAUACCGCAUACGUCCUGAGGGAGAAAGUGGGGGAUCUUCGGACCUCACGCUAUCAGAUGAGCCUAGGUCGGAUUAGCUAGUUGGUGGGGUAAAGGCCUACCAAGGCGACGAUCCGUAACUGGUCUGAGAGGAUGAUCAGUCACACUGGAACUGAGACACGGUCCAGACUCCUACGGGAGGCAGCAGUGGGGAAUAUAGGACAAUGGGCGAAAGCCUGAUCCAGCCAUGCCGCGUGUGUGAAGAAGGUCUUCGGAUUGUAAAGCACUUUAAGUUGGGAGGAAGGGCAGUAAGUUAAUACCUUGCUAUUUUGACGUUACCAACAGAAUAAGCACCGGCUAACUUCGUG